GUGGACUAGGUGGUGGUCGGGGCAGUCGGGACCUGCCUGACCCAGGUGCUGCUAGGCUAGUCAGGGCUGGACCGUCCUGACUGGAGAAUAGGAGGCAAUUAUGUGAGGGGGCUAAGUGGCCGCGAGGGUGGGUAGCAGAGAGAGGAAGGUGCGUGGUAUAGAGGACCCACUCUGGCUACAACUACCGCCGCCAUUACAUUCGCCACAACACUCACCGACCACCACACUAGCUACAACCACCGCCACAUUCGCCACAACCACCACCACAUGCUCGCCACCGCAGACCAGAGAGUUGAGGACGAGGAUGGACGUGGAUCGCACCAGCGGGCACCUUUAAACUAUUAUCUGAAUGCUCAAGGAUACGACGCUCCACCAACGGAGAGAAAAACAAGAGGAUGGUGCAACUAAGAUGUGAUCACUGUGAAAGUCGAGGGUCGUAUUUGAUCGCUCUCUCCCUUAGGCUACUACACUAUGGUAUUAUCACUGUUGGUCGUGACAUUGCUAUUCUCUCGCAGGAUUUUUCUCUUGGUCUUCAUAAGUUUUGAUUAUAUAGGCGUUU